rnacentral:SRP_RNA from 1 species
GCCAGGUAUAGUGGUGCACACCUGUAGUACCAGCAACUCAGGCGGCUGAGGUGAAAAGAUCCCUUGAGCCCAGGAGUUUGAGGCUGCAGUGAGCUGUGAUUGUGCCACCACACUCCACACCACUGCUCCAGCCUGGGUGACAGAGUGAGAGCCUGUCUCCAAAAAAAAAAAAAAAAAGGCUCCCAGGCCCUCCCUCUGUCACCCAGGCGGGAGCAGGGGUGGGGAGUGUGGUGGCACAAUCACAGCUCACUGCAGCCUCAAACUCCUGGGCUCAAGGGAUCUUUUCACCUCAG